ACUACCUGAAAGGAGGCUGUCAUGAGGUGCCCAGGAGAACUGCCGCAGCCCCUGCUGGGGUGGGUGCCCCAGCCUAAAGCAAAGGAUGAUACUAGUGAGAAAACCAAAGACAAAAGCAAUCACAGUGUCUGACUGUUCUUAUUCUGAGUGGCGGGGGUGAAGAUCAGUACAAAUGCAGACAGCUGUCAGGCUGUGCUCUGCACUCUGGUCCUCUGCUCACAGCAGCCACGUGUCUGGUCAGUCAGCACUGACCUGCAAGAGCUCACUGCCUGCGUGUGCAAUACAGGGUCACGUUAGUUGCUGAGAGAUUUUUUUUUCCCCUGGAAUUUCUGCUCUGAGGCUGACCUGACUGAAGCAAGGCAAUGUGCAGAAUAUCACCGAUUAAAAAGGUGUUCAUGUGGGAUAUCAAAUAAUAUUCCACUCCACUUCUGGAGUGGAAGAGCCUUUACUUCUAGUUCUUGCAGAACUUGGUGUUCAAAGAUGCACAGUAACUUGUGCAGACACAUUGGAAAUUGAGAUCUGUCAGCCUUGAAAGCCACUCAGCUCUCUAUGCUGACAUAUCGUGUCCAACUCGUUCUUUCUCAUUUGUGGACUAAUGCACUCAGUGUGGUAGCUAAGUCAUUCCAGCAUGGUUAAGGCCCCAUGACUGAUGUCAGCAGUCAAACCCAUGGGGCUUUUCGUUUUCAAAUCAAAGCACAUCAAACAAAAUAGUUUAGCAAAGAACAAAGAAAAGCUGAAGCAGACUUUGGAAUGCAUUGAAAUUGGCAGCGACUUGUUUUUCUUAGCCUGAAGCUAAACCAAAUGUAUUGUAUUAGGAUUUUAGUUUGGUGGGGCUUCGUUUGUUUGUUUGUUUGAGGGUUUGUUUGCUUAUGUUACUAUUUUUGGGGUUUGAGGGUUUCAUUUGUUUUUAAAGAGGCAUGUAUUUGCUUCCAGAUAUUUUUUGUUUAAACUUGCUUUUGAACUUUUGUUUAAAAUGCAAGGCCUGAUCCUGGGCUGUGUUAGAUUAGGAUUCCCUCCUGCUACGACAGAGGAAAGGUCACUCUGUUCAACAUGCUGCAGAAGGGCUUUCAGUGAAAUCCCAGCCAUGUGAGGAGGAGGAGGCGUGUGACUCAGUUUAAAAUGCUGAGGAAAAGAAACUCAUUAUUGCUUCAACUCUUUCCUUAACUGCACUUUCAAAAGCUCUUUGGAUGGUCAGUGCUGAGAAGCGUCACAUAAGCGCCACAAAAGGCUCUAGCGGAGUGCGGGGUGCAGGUACGCAGCCUACCAAUACCCCUCGCCAUGGUCUGAAUGCUGGCUCUGCUGUGAAGCCGCACCCCAGUUGACCCCACUCCCCAUUUUGCUAGGCUCAGAAAACAAAAGCAAAGGGCAUCAGUUUUUUAACCACCAGAAAUAAAUAGUUCAAAUACCAGGGAGAGGAGGGUUGUCCCACUCCCUGUAGCAGCGGUAUUCAGUCCUCUGUAAUGAUCUGUGGGUGUCUAACCACUUUUCACUCAGAGCGCAGACGCACUGCAGUGGAUUUAGACCUUCCAGCAAGUUUCCUCUCUCAGUUCUCUUUUCAAGGGCCCCCUCCAAGGGUCAUUCACCAAGGAGACCAGCUCCAGCACAGGUAAAUACACACUGAGAGAGGGAAUCUCAUCCAAAAGUGCCAAAAGGAUGCUCUUUGGAGGGCUUUUUGAAGGUGGGAAAGCAGCCCUUGGGCAGAGCCAGCACUCCUGGCAGCACAGCUAAACCCACCACACCCAAUAGGAGGCCUCAGGGAGGGCAGCGACCUGACACUGCCCACCCAGCACAGAGGUGAGCUCCACUGACUGUAACAGAUCCCUUCCCAGGAGACCCAGCAUGGUGGCCAUGUGAGUAAAAGACAUUGCCAGGAGGAACACGGGGGCCCAGGGGUCCCACACAAACAUGUAGCUGUCCAAGUGUCUAGUUGCAGGGACUGCCUGAGCCUGGCGCUGGUAGCAGAGGACAGCAGAGAGAGGACGCCUGUGUGUGGCGUGAGCAAGGGAAGGAUCUGCUCACCCAGGCAGCAGAGCUGGAAGAGAAACCAGACAGGCUGAGGAGCAUCAGGGAGUGUGAGAGAGAAACAGACUGGUGGAGCCACAACCCGAGGCCAAGGCAGCAGACGGAGAUUCAUCAUCAAGCAGAGAAUUCCCUCCCCUCCCUGCCAUCAGGCAACAAGAGACCUAAAAGAGAGGGCAGUGUCAGGUCGCUGCUGGGGGCGGCAGGCCAAUCCUCCCCUGCUGCCCUGACGCAACGGGCCCGGGGCUCUGGAGCUGGAGGGCCAGGCUGCAGAGGAGGUGAAAAUCCACCCAGAGCCUUGCCCGGCGUGACUUAGCCAGCCCCACGCAUCAGGACUACUCGUGUUAAAAAGAAAGUAAUGGUCAUAGGUGAUUCCCUUCCAAGGGGAGCAGAGGGCCCUGCAUGCCCACCAGAUUCACGGCUCAGGGACGUGUGCUGCACCCCCGGGCCUGGCUCAGACACGUCCCCAGCCUGGGGCAGCCCCCUUACCGUUUUAAAGGCCACUGUCUUCAUUCCAAAGUGUAAACCAAAUUUUCAAGAGGAUUCCAAAGCACAUCCCAAAGGGGGCUGAGAAGAACAGAA